AUAUUAAAGUAAUUGUGAAAUAAAAGAAAAAAUCAUCUGAUAAAACCACAUCUCAUAGAAACCCAAUGAAUGCAACACAUCUAAAAUUUUAUCUGCAAGAAACGAGAGAAGGCUUGCCCUUCUGUCAGUAAAGCACAGAUAA
rnacentral:antisense_RNA from 1 species